CUGACGUUUGGAGUGUGGGUAUGAUUGUUAGGAUUAGGGUUCUUCUUUUGGUAAGGGUCAUGGAUAGUGCAGAAAUAGCGGUACUUGAGGAUGACUUAUUGUUCUGGUAGGGUUAGGGCUAGGGUUAGGGUUAGGGUCAGGGUCAGGGUGAUAGAUAGCAUUGAAAUUGAAAUGCCUGUGUCUUCCAGUGUGGGUUGGAAAGUUAGUAUUAGCGUAAGUUCGGGGGGACGGGGAGGGAUAAGGUCACUUGUCAACCACCUGGGAAUGGUGAUUUGGUCCUGCGCCUUAGGGUUAGGGUUAGGGUUAGGAGUAGGUUCAGGUUUAGGGUACCAAUUCAUGUACCUGACGUUUGGAGUGUGGGUAUGAUUGUUAGGAUUAGGGUUCUUCUUUUGGUAAGGGUCAUGGAUAGUGCAGAAAUAGCGGUACUUGAGGAUGACUUAUUGUUCUGGUAGGGUUAGGGCUAGGGUUAGGGUUAGGGUCAGGGUGAGGUAGACAGAUGGCAUUGAAAUUGAAAUGCCUGUGUCUUCCAGUGUGGGUUGGAAAGUUAGUAUUAGCGUAAGUUCGUGGGGACGGGGAGGGAUAAGGUCACUUGUCAACCACCUGGGAAUGGUGAUUUGGUCCUGCGCCUUAGGGUUAGGGUUAGGGUUAGGAGUAGGUUCAGGUUUAGGGUACCAAUUCAUGUACCUGACGUUUGGAGUGUGGGUAUGAUUGUUAGGAUUAGGGUUCUUCUUUUGGUAAGGGUCAUGGA
rnacentral:lncRNA from 1 species